GCACUGCUGAGGAGUCCUACCAUGGGACAAAACGGCCGUCCAGUGC
rfam:Schistosoma haematobium scaffold229_12, whole genome shotgun sequence.